GACGAACGCUGGCGGCGUGCCUAAUACAUGCAAGUAGAACGCACAGUUUAUACCGUAGCUUGCUACACCAUAGACUGUGAGUUGCGAACGGGUGAGUAACGCGUAGGUAACCUGCCUGGUAGCGGGGGAUAACUAUUGGAAACGAUAGCUAAUACCGCAUAAUAUUGAUUAUUGCAUGAUAAUUAAUUGAAAGGUGCAAUUGCAUCACUACCAGAUGGACCUGCGUUGUAUUAGCUAGUAGGUGAGGUAACGGCUCACCUAGGCGACGAUACAUAGCCGACCUGAGAGGGUGAUCGGCCACACUGGGACUGAGACACGGCCCAGACUCCUACGGGAGGCAGCAGUAGGGAAUCUUCGGCAAUGGACGACAGUCUGACCGAGCAACGCCGCGUGAGGGAAGAAGGUUUUCGGAUCGUAAAGCUCUGUUGUAAGAGAAGAACGGGUGUGAGAGUGGAAAGUUCACACUGUGACGGUAUCUUAACAGAAAGAGACGGCUAACUACGUG
rnacentral:rRNA from 1 species